rnacentral:rRNA from 1 species
AGCGUACACGGUGGAUGCCCUGGCAGUCAGAGGCGAUGAAGGACGUGCUAAUCUGCGAUAAGCGUCGGUAAGGUGAUAUGAACCGUUAUAACCGGCGAUUUCCGAAUGGGGAAACCCAGUGUGAUUCGUCACACUAUCAUUAACUGAAUCCAUAGGUUAAUGAGGCGAACCGGGGGAACUGAAACAUCUAAGUACCCCGAGGAAAAGAAAUCAACCGAGAUUCCCCCAGUAGCGGCGAGCGAACGGGGAGGAGCCCAGAGCCUGAAUCAGUGUGUGUGUUAGUGGAAGCGUCUGGAAAGGCGCGCGAUACAGGGUGACAGCCCCGUACACAAAAAUACACAUACUGUGAGCUCGAUGAGUAGGGCGGGACACGUGGUAUCCUGUCUGAAUAUGGGGGGACCAUCCUCCAAGGCUAAAUACUCCUGACUGACCGAUAGUGAACCAGUACCGUGAGGGAAAGGCGAAAAGAACCCCGGCGAGGGGAGUGAAAAAGAACCUGAAACCGUGUACGUACAAGCAGUGGGAGCACGCUUAGGCGUGUGACUGCGUACCUUUUGUAUAAUGGGUCAGCGACUUAUAUUCUGUAGCAAGGUUAACCGAAUAGGGGAGCCGAAGGGAAACCGAGUCUUAACUGGGCGUUAAGUUGCAGGGUAUAGACCCGAAACCCGGUGAUCUAGCCAUGGGCAGGUUGAAGGUUGGGUAACACUAACUGGAGGACCGAACCGACUAAUGUUGAAAAAUUAGCGGAUGACUUGUGGCUGGGGGUGAAAGGCCAAUCAAACCGGGAGAUAGCUGGUUCUCCCCGAAAGCUAUUUAGGUAGCGCCUCGUGAAUUCAUCUCCGGGGGUAGAGCACUGUUUCGGCAAGGGGGUCAUCCCGACUUACCAACCCGAUGCAAACUGCGAAUACCGGAGAAUGUUAUCACGGGAGACACACGGCGGGUGCUAACGUCCGUCGUGAAGAGGGAAACAACCCAGACCGCCAGCUAAGGUCCCAAAGUCAUGGUUAAGUGGGAAACGAUGUGGGAAGGCCCAGACAGCCAGGAUGUUGGCUUAGAAGCAGCCAUCAUUUAAAGAAAGCGUAAUAGCUCACUGGUCGAGUCGGCCUGCGCGGAAGAUGUAACGGGGCUAAACCAUGCACCGAAGCUGCGGCAGCGACACUAUGUGUUGUUGGGUAGGGGAGCGUUCUGUAAGCCUGCGAAGGUGUGCUGUGAGGCAUGCUGGAGGUAUCAGAAGUGCGAAUGCUGACAUAAGUAACGAUAAAGCGGGUGAAAAGCCCGCUCGCCGGAAGACCAAGGGUUCCUGUCCAACGUUAAUCGGGGCAGGGUGAGUCGACCCCUAAGGCGAGGCCGAAAGGCGUAGUCGAUGGGAAACAGGUUAAUAUUCCUGUACUUGGUGUUACUGCGAAGGGGGGACGGAGAAGGCUAUGUUGGCCGGGCGACGGUUGUCCCGGUUUAAGCGUGUAGGCUGGUUUUCCAGGCAAAUCCGGAAAAUCAAGGCUGAGGCGUGAUGACGAGGCACUACGGUGCUGAAGCAACAAAUGCCCUGCUUCCAGGAAAAGCCUCUAAGCAUCAGGUAACAUCAAAUCGUACCCCAAACCGACACAGGUGGUCAGGUAGAGAAUACCAAGGCGCUUGAGAGAACUCGGGUGAAGGAACUAGGCAAAAUGGUGCCGUAACUUCGGGAGAAGGCACGCUGAUAUGUAGGUGAAGUCCCUCGCGGAUGGAGCUGAAAUCAGUCGAAGAUACCAGCUGGCUGCAACUGUUUAUUAAAAACACAGCACUGUGCAAACACGAAAGUGGACGUAUACGGUGUGACGCCUGCCCGGUGCCGGAAGGUUAAUUGAUGGGGUUAGCGGUAACGCGAAGCUCUUGAUCGAAGCCCCGGUAAACGGCGGCCGUAACUAUAACGGUCCUAAGGUAGCGAAAUUCCUUGUCGGGUAAGUUCCGACCUGCACGAAUGGCGUAAUGAUGGCCAGGCUGUCUCCACCCGAGACUCAGUGAAAUUGAACUCGCUGUGAAGAUGCAGUGUACCCGCGGCAAGACGGAAAGACCCCGUGAACCUUUACUAUAGCUUGACACUGAACAUUGAGCCUUGAUGUGUAGGAUAGGUGGGAGGCUUUGAAGUGUGGACGCCAGUCUGCAUGGAGCCGACCUUGAAAUACCACCCUUUAAUGUUUGAUGUUCUAACGUUGACCCGUGAUCCGGGUUGCGGACAGUGUCUGGUGGGUAGUUUGACUGGGGCGGUCUCCUCCUAAAGAGUAACGGAGGAGCACGAAGGUUGGCUAAUCCUGGUCGGACAUCAGGAGGUUAGUGCAAUGGCAUAAGCCAGCUUGACUGCGAGCGUGACGGCGCGAGCAGGUGCGAAAGCAGGUCAUAGUGAUCCGGUGGUUCUGAAUGGAAGGGCCAUCGCUCAACGGAUAAAAGGUACUCCGGGGAUAACAGGCUGAUACCGCCCAAGAGUUCAUAUCGACGGCGGUGUUUGGCACCUCGAUGUCGGCUCAUCACAUCCUGGGGCUGAAGUAGGUCCCAAGGGUAUGGCUGUUCGCCAUUUAAAGUGGUACGCGAGCUGGGUUUAGAACGUCGUGAGACAGUUCGGUCCCUAUCUGCCGUGGGCGCUGGAGAACUGAGGGGGGCUGCUCCUAGUACGAGAGGACCGGAGUGGACGCAUCACUGGUGUUCGGGUUGUCAUGCCAAUGGCACUGCCCGGUAGCUAAAUGCGGAAGAGAUAAGUGCUGAAAGCAUCUAAGCACGAAACUUGCCCCGAGAUGAGUUCU